rnacentral:rRNA from 1 species
GAUGAACGCUGGCGGCGUGCCUAAUACAUGCAAGUCGAGCGAAUGGAUUAAGAGCUUGCUCUUAUGAAGUUAGCGGCGGACGGGUGAGUAACACGUGGUUAACCUGCCCAUAAGACUGGGAUAACUCCGGGAAACCGGGGCUAAUACCGGAUAACAUUUUGAACCGCAUGGUUCGAAAUUGAAAGGCGGCUUCGGCUGUCACUUAUGGAUGGACCCGCGUCGCAUUAGCUAGUUGGUGAGGUAACGGCUCACCAAGGCAACGAUGCGUAGCCGACCUGAGAGCGUGAUCGGCCACACGGGGACUGAGACACGGCCCAGACUCCUACGGGAGGCAGCAGUAUGGAAUCUUCCGCAAUGGACGAAAGUCUGACGGAGCAACGCCGCGUGAGUGAUGAAGGCUUUCGGGUCGUAAAACUCUGUUGUUAGGGAAGAACAGGUGCUAGUUGAAUAAGCUGGCACCUUGACGGUACCUAACCAGAAAGCCACGGCUAACUACGUGCCAGCCGCCGCGGUAA